rnacentral:rRNA from 1 species
AGCCAGUACAGGAUGGACCCGCGUCUGAUUAGCUAGUUGGUAAGGUAAUGGCUUACCAAGGCGACGAUCAGUAGCCGACCUGAGAGGGUGAUCGGCCACAUUGGAACUGAGACACGGUCCAAACUCCUACGGGAGGCAGCAGUGGGGAAUAUUGCACAAUGGGCGAAAGCCUGAUGCAGCAACGCCGCGUGAGUGAUGAAGGCUUUCGGG